GACGAACGCUGGCGGCGUGCUUAACACAUGCCAGUCGAACGGAAAGGCCCCUUUGGGGGUACUCGAGUGGCGAACGGGUGAGUAACACGUGAGUAACCUGCCCUUGACUUCGGGAUAACUUCAGGAAACUGGGGCUAAUACCGGAUAGGAAUCCUUGCUGCAUGGCGGGGGUUGGAAAGCUUCGGCGGUUUUGGAUGGACUCGCGGCUUAUCAGCUUGUUGGUGGGGUAGUGGCUUACCAAGGCUUUGACGGGUAGCCGGCCUGAGAGGGCGACCGGCCACAUUGGGACUGAGAUACGGCCCAGACUCCUACGGGAGGCAGCAGUGGGGAAUAUUGCACAAUGGGCGGAAGCCUGAUGCAGCAACGCCGCGUGCGGGAUGACGGCCUUCGGGUUGGAAACCGCUUUCAGCAGGGGCGAAGCUUGUGGUGACGGUACCUGCAGAAGAAGCACCGGCUAACUACGUG
rnacentral:rRNA from 1 species